rnacentral:rRNA from 1 species
UACGGGGGGGGGGUAAGCGUUGUUCGGAAUUACUGGGCGUAAAGGGCUCGUAGGCGGCCAACUAAGUCAUACGUGAAAUCCCUCAGCUUAACCGGGGAACUGCGUCUGAUACUGGAUGGCUUGAGUUUUGGGAGAGGGAUGCGGAAUUCCAGGUGUAGCGGUUGAAAUGCGUAGAUAUCUGGAGGAACACCGGUGGCGAAGGCGCAUCCUGGACCAACACUG